GACGAACGCUGGCGGCGUGCUUAACACAUGCAAGUCGAACGGAGUGGCGAACGGGUGAGUAACACGUGGGUGAUCUGCCUUGCACUUCGGGAUAAGCUUGGGAAACUGGGUCUAAUACCGGAUAGUGCAAGAUGAGCUCGCGGCCUAUCAGCUUGUUGGUGGGGUAAUGGCCUACCAAGGCGUCGACGGGUAGCCGGCCUGAGAGGGUGUACGGCCACAGUGGGACUGGGAUAGGGGCCGUGCUCCUACGGGAGGCAGCAGGGGGGAAUAGUUCACAAGAGGCGGAAGCCGGAUGCAGGGACGCCGCGUGGGGGAUGAAGGCCUUCGGGUGGGAAACUCCUUUCGACAGGGACGCGGUACCUGUAUAGGAAGCACCGGCUAACUACGUGCCAGCAGCCGCGGUAAUAC
rnacentral:rRNA from 1 species